GAAGUCGGAAUUGCUAGUAAUCGCGGAUCAGCAUGCCGCGGUGAAUACGUUCCCGGGCCUUGUACACACCGCCCGUCACACCAUGGGAGUCGGUAACACCCGAAGCCUGUAGUCUAACCGCAAGGGGGACGCAGUCGAAGGUGGGAUUGAUGACUGGGGUGAAGUCGUAACAAGGUAAC
rnacentral:rRNA from 1 species